GGACGCUUCACAGCCCAGGACGCCACAGCCCUGAGGAGAGUGAAAGAAAUGAUUGGGGCAGGAGUCAUGAGGCACAUGAUCGUCCUCUUCACCCACAAGGAAGACCUGGCAAAUGAGACCUUGCAUGAGUUUGUGACCCACACUGACAACCACAGCCUGAGCAGCCUGGUCCCUUAUCCUUUACCACAGCAUCUUAAAAACAUGGUCAGAAAACCAUGACAUUCUGCUAUGAGGAUAAACCACUGUGCAAGUGUCAUGGGGGUCAUGUCCAGGAACAGUCUUCAGUUCUUAUAACUUCAUUCUGGUUUCUUUGACUGAUUUUUAAUGUAUUACUUUAUCUAAAGUACAAAAAGCAAAUGCUUUAUGUGAAACGAUCAACCUGAGUGGUACCCUAACAUCCAUCUCCACCUUUAAAAUGAAAGCCAUUUCCCUCCCAUCCACACUGUGAAUAGAAAAAGGAAAAUAAUGGGAAAGAAAUACGAUUAAAACUCUAGGGGAUGGGGACAUUGGACAGCCUGUCCAGCCAAUUGGUGAGCACCAGAUUCAGUGAGACUUUGUUUUAAUACAUACUAUAGAGAGACUGGGGAGAUGUCUCUUAGUCACACCUGAGGAGUAGAGUUUGUAUUCUCAGAACCCACGUCAGAAAUGAGUAUGAGUGGGUUCAUCUCUAACCCUGGCAUUGGAGGGGUGAAGUGGCAGAGAGGCAGGCAAAUCCCUGGAGCUCAUCUAGAUCCCUCUAGCCAAUCUAACCCGUUGGCGAGUGCAGUCAACCAAGUGAGAUUCUGUGUCCAAAACUCAGGCAAGAGUGAUAGAAGAAGACAUGAGAUGUCCCCUUGCUCUCCUACAGUGAUAGAGGAAGAUAUGAGAUGUCUCCUUGCUCUCCUACAGUGAUAGAGGAAGAUAUGAGAUGUCCCCUUGCUCUCCUACUGUGAUAGAGGAAGAUAUGAGAUGUCCCUUUGCUUUCCUACUGUGAUAGAGGAAGAUAUGAGAUGUCCCUUUGCUGUCCUGCAGUGAGGACCCAAGGCUAUGGAUUCAGGGCAGUUCUUACCCACGGAUGGGCUCCUGAACCUGACUGGAGGCUGGGGUUCCUUCUGGAUGACCGGUAGUGUGGACUUCAAAUCACUGAUGAGGUAUUUUCUGGUUGGUUCCUGAAAGCCCUAUGUUUUAUGGGUGUAAAUACCAUCUGCCCCAGAUCCUGCCCAUCCAGUCUUCUACAGCUCCCUGUCUUCCUCUCAGUCAGAGCCUGUGGCUGUUUGCAACUCUUUCUUGGUCAGUGUUCACUGCAGAAUUCUGGUGCUUGGUCAGUGUUCACUGCAGAAUUCUGGUGCUGGCCUUCAAAGCAAAGAUAUAUCCUGCUGCAAAGGAGCUGUCUACAGUGUGGAACCCAAACCAGGCCCCAGCAGUCACAGGGAAAAAACAGCACAAAUCUCUUCUAUGAGAGCCUGGAGCUCAAAACUGUAGCUCUAUGCCAUGGAAACAGUCCUUGCCCCCAACCACGCUGUUGUAGGUGUUUCUUUGGCAAUGUGUCCUUACAUGUUUAACAUAAGAUUUCUAGACAAAUCUCACAGGAACUGAAGAUUUAUCCCCUUCCUAAUACACACAUGCCUGAGAAAUAAUAAAGAAACAUUGGAUCUGGGA